AUUGAACGCUGGCGGCAUGCCCUACACAUGCAAGUCGAACGGUAACAGGUUAAGCUGACGAGUGGCGAACGGGUGAGUAAUAUAUCGGAACGUGCCCAGUCGUGGGGGAUAACGUAGCGAAAGCUACGCUAAUACCGCAUACGACCUACGGAUGAAAGCGGGGGAUCGGAAGACCUCGCGCGAUUGGAGUGGCCGAUAUCAGAUUAGGUUGUUGGUGAGGUAAAAGCUUACCAAGCCUGCGAUCUGUAGCUGGUCUGAGAGGACGACCAGCCACACUGGAACUGAGACACGGUCCAGACUCCUACGGGAGGCAGCAGUGGGGAAUUUUGGACAAUGGACGCAAGUCUGAUCCAGCAAUGCCGCGUGCAGGACGAAGGCCUUCGGGUUGUAAACUGCUUUUGUACGGAACGAAACGGUGAGCUCUAAUACAGUUUGCUAAUGACGGUACCGUAAGAAUAAGCACCGGCUAACUACGUGCCAGCCGCCGCAGUAA
rnacentral:rRNA from 1 species